rnacentral:rRNA from 1 species
GAUGAACGCUGGCGGCGUGCCUAAUACAUGCAAGUCGAGCGAACAGACGAGGAGCUUGCUCCUCUGACGUUAGCGGCGGACGGGUGAGUAACACGUGGAUAACCUACCUAUAAGACUGGGAUAACUUCGGGAAACCGGAGCUAAUACCGGAUAAUAUAUUGAACCGCAUGGUUCAAUAGUGAAAGACGGUUUUGCUGUCACUUAUAGAUGGAUCCGCGCCGCAUUAGCUAGUUGGUAAGGUAACGGCUUACCAAGGCAACGAUGCGUAGCCGACCUGAGAGGGUAGUGGGCCACCCGGGAACGAAGCCACGGUCAGGAGCCCUACGGGGGGCGGCAGUAGGGAAUGUUGCGCAAGGGGCGAAAGCCUGACGAGGCAACGCGGGGUGGGUAAGAAAGGUCUUCGGAUCGUAAAACUCUGUUAUUAGGAAAGAAGAAAGGGGGAAGUGACUAUGCACGUCGUGACGGUACCUAAACAGAAAGCGACGGCUAACUACGUG